rnacentral:rRNA from 1 species
GAUCAUGGCUCAGAUUGAACGCUGGCGGCAGGCCUAACACAUGCAAGUCGAACGGUAGCACAGAGGAGCUUGCUCCUUGGGUGACGAGUGGCGGACGGGUGAGUAAUGUCUGGGAAACUGCCCGAUGGAGGGGGAUAACUACUGGAAACGGUAGCUAAUACCGCAUAACGUCGCAAGACCAAAGAGGGGGACCUUCGGGCCUCUUGCCAUCGGAUGUGCCCAGAUGGGAUUAGCUAGUAGG